GGCUGGUCCAAGUGCAGUGGUGUUUACAACUAAUUGAUCACAACCACUUACAGAUUCCUUUGUCCCUUCUCCACUCCCACUGCUUCACUUGACUAGCCUAAA
ensembl:misc_RNA Y_RNA Y RNA